ACAAUCAUGCUUAAGCUGUGAAAAUUUUCAAGAUUUUUACCCAUAGUUAUUAAGCAAAUAGACUCAUACUCUUUCUUUGAUGUUUUAAAUUUUUUAUCUUAACCAGAUAGAUAUGGUUAAACUUUUUGAGCAUUGCCAGACCAAAUACAGUUCUUGUGGUGUGACAGGGAAGGAUCAGUAGAUCAGUAGCACAUUAUUAGCCCUUAGGCUGGGCACAUACAUACCUACAUAAUUAACCUGUUACUUGAGAUCACCUUGCCUCUAAACAAGUGGUCUUGAAAAUGAGGUAGAGAAAGGUAAAAAGAUCAGACUGCUUGUGACAGGGAGAGGAACAUCUGUUAGAGGAAGGGUUUAAAGAAAAUCUGGCCCGUGGAAUUAAUGCCAGAGGGCAUGUGCUGCUGUAGAAUAUCCUGUAGUCUAAGUUGGAUGAAUAAACAAACCAAGCAACCAAAAAACCUUCAUAUUUUACAUGUGAGAGGAGCUCUCCCUUAUGAAAUUCUUAGUUGACAUUGGAAAUGCAU
rnacentral:lncRNA from 1 species